rnacentral:rRNA from 1 species
GACGAACGCUGGCGGCGUGCCUAAUACAUGCAAGUAGAACGCUGAAGAGAGGAGCUUACUCUCUUUGGAUGAGUUGCGAACGGGUGAGUAACGCGUAGGUAACCUGCCUUGUAUCGGGGGAGAACUAUGGGAAACGAUAGCUAAUACCGCAUAACAAUGGAUGACACAUGUCACAUAUUUGAAAGGGGCCAUUGCCCCACUACAAGAUGGACCUGCGUUGUAUUAGCUAGUAGGUGAGGUAAAGGCUCACCUAGGCGACGAUACAUAGCCGAGCUGAAAAGGUGGACCGCCCAAAUGGGAACUAGACAAGGCCCAGACUCCUUCCGGGAGCAGCAGUAGGGGAACAUCGGACAUGGGGGCAACGCCGAACGAGCAACGCCGGGGGAGGGGAGAAAGGUUUCGGAUCGGAAAGGUCUGUUGGAUGGCAAAGAAGAGUGGGAGGGUAAAAAGUUCACGCUGUGACGGUAGCCUAACAGAAAGCAACGGCUAACUACGUG